rnacentral:piRNA from 1 species
UCAAAGAUGGUACUGUUUUAAGGAGGGU